UUUCCAUUAUCGAUGAGGGACUAUUGCCUUUUUCAAUAAAGCAUUAGAGGACUUUUCAAGUUCCCAACCUUUCAAGUUCUAAACUUUUCAAAUUCCUCUCCUUCCCUCUAUUUCCCAUCACUUCUUUCUACAUACCCAACAUUUGUGACUAUGGACAAGUCCUUUAGCUAAAAGAUUAAUUUUAUUUUUGGUAUAAAUUGAUAAAUAAAUUAGAAAAAUGGUCAUCAUUCGGAUACAUUUUUAUGAUGACCAUGUUUCUAGUUUUUUUCAUCAAAUAUACCAAUCUUCUGCAAGCUCUACUUCGAUGAAAAUCGUCUUGUCCCUCUUCGUUGCAAUUUGUAGCAUUGAAUUACCAGAGACCCACUUCACUAUAAUGAAGAAAAUUUCUCAUGUUUAGUUCAGAUGAUUAAAACUGAUAUACAGAUAUGACAGUUGUUAGUGUAAUUCUUUCCGUUUUAGAAAUAAAUAUAUACAUUAACAAACAAAGUUUGAUGAUUAGCUCGGAGAAAAAAAAUACCCAUUAACUAAAAAGCAAGUUCGCUUAACACAAAAUUGAAGAAAUACCAAAAUUAUAAAUUUGCAAACACUUCUAGCACCCAUUGACCUAAAAACAUGAAUGUCAUUUUGAUUAACACUGAAAGAUGUCAUAAAAAUUAAAAUUAGCAUUAUUAGUCUAACCUAGAUGGAAAUCACUACCUUCUUUGAUAGAAAGCUGAAAAUUUUUGCUUAGCUAUAACAUCAACAUAGAAGAGAAAAUUGGGGGUAACGAAAAAAGAGAGGAUUGUUGAGUGUGUGUGAGCAAAUUCACAAGUAACUGAUUGGAAGUAAAACUUUAUUGAAUUGGACUCUUCUAUUAAAAAAUCUUAUUAGAAAAAUCUUUCUAUUUUUCGUUACCCUCAAUACUUUAUUUUUUGUUACCCCUAAUUCUCUCUUUUUUUCAUUACCCCAAUUCUCUUUUCUAUGGUUGUUGUUAUCGUUGAACAAAACUUUUCACUUUCUAUUGAAGAAUAUUAUGAUUUACAUCUACAUUGAACCAGUAAUGCAAAUUCUUUUCUUGUUUUGAUUUUUAUGAUAUAUUUCGGUUGAUCAAAACGACAUUCAUGUUUUUAGGUAUUGGGUGCUAGAAAUGUUUGAAAAUCUAUAAUAUUGUUAUGAUUUUUGGGAGUUCUUUAGAAUUUUGUGUUAAGAGAAUUUCCUUCUCUUGUGUUUUGGUAAUAGGUAUUUCAUUCUCCGGGCUAAUCAUCAAAUUUUGAUUUUCUUUGUUUAGUUAAUAUAUAUAUUUUUUCUGCUAUUUUUGUAAAUUGAAAAAAAUUACACUAAUAAUUGUCAUAUUUGUAUUUUAGUUUUGAUCAUUUGAACUAAAUAUGAGAAGUUUCUUGAUUAUAGUGAUGUGGGUCAAUGGUAAUUCAAUUUCAACGAACUCUACAAAUUGCGACGAAGAGGUGCAAGAAGAUUUUCAACAAAGAAGAAUUUGCAGAAGAUUGGUGCUUUGAAUGUAAAGAUGAAAGAGAGUUCAUGAUUUGUGACUCUGGGCAAGUCCUUUUGCCAAAAAAUUAAUUUUAUUUUUGGUAUAAUUGAUAAAAUAAACUGAAAAUGGUCAUCAUUUGGAAACAUUUUUAUGAUGAUCAUGUUUUUAGUUUAUUUCAUCAAAUAUACCAAAAAUAAAAUUGAUUUUUUUUAGCAAAAUGACUUGCCCAUUGUCACAAAUCAUGAGCUCUCAUCCAUCUUUACAUUCAAAACACCAAUCUUCUGCAAGCUCUACUUCGAUGAAAAUCGUCUUGCCCCUCUUCGUUGCAAUUUGUAGCAUUGAAUUACCAGAGACCCACUUCACUAUAAUGAAGAAAAUUUCUCAUGUUCAGUUCAGAUGAUUAAAACUGAUAUGACAGUUAGCGUAAUUCUUUCCCUAUUUUAGAAAAAAAUAGCAGAAAAUAUAUGCUUGAUGAUUAGCCCGGAGAAUGAAUACCCAUUAACAAAACACAAUAAAAAAGCAGGUUCUCUUAACACAAUUAUGAAGAUAUACCAAGAAUCAUAACAAAAUUAUAGAUGUUCAAACACUUCUAGCACCCAUUGACCUAAAAACAUGAAUAUCAUUUUGAUCAAUCAAAAUAUGUCAUAAACAAGAAAAAAAAUUAACAUUAUUAGUCCAACCUAAACGCAAUUUGCUACUUUCUUUAAUAAAAAGCUGAAAUUUUUUGAUUAGCGAUUACAUCAAUCAUAAAAGAGAAUUGGAGGUAAUGAAAAAAAAAUUGAGAGUAACGAAAAAAGAGAGGAUUGUUAAGUGUAUUUACUAUUCAUAAGUAAAUGAUUGUUGUAUCCAACAAAAGAUUCCUCCAAUCCAAACAUAACUUUGUUGAAUUGGACUCUUCUAUUAAAAGACCUUAUUAGAAAAAUCUUUCUUUUUUCGUUACGCCCAAUUCUCUCUUUUUUUGUACCCCCAAUUCUCGUUUCUAUGGUUUUUGUUAUCGCGAUAGAAAAAUUUUCAGCUUUCUAUUGAAGAAUGUAGUGAUUUGCAUCUAUGUUGGACUAGUAAUGCUUAUUUUUUUUCUUGUUUUUAUGAUAUCUUUUUGUUGAUCAAAACGAUAUUCAUGUUUUUUAGGGCAAUGGGUGCUGGAAGUGUUUGGAAAUCUAUAAUUUUGUUAUGAUUCUUGGGAGUUCUUAGAAUUUUGUGUUAAGAGAACUUGUUUUUUCUGUGUUUUGUUAAUGGGUGUUUCAUUCUCUAGGCUAAUCAUCAAGCUUUGAUUUUCUUUGUUUGUUAAUAUAUAUAUUUUUUUUUGAAUUUUUUCUAAAAGGAAAAAGAUUACACUAACAAUUGUCAUAUCUGCAUUUUAGUUUUUAUCAUUUGAAUUAAACAUGGGAGUUUGAUUCUAGUGAAGUGGGUCUCUGGUAUUUCAAUUUUAAGAAACUCAUCUGCUACAAAUUGCGAUGAAGAGGGGUAAGAAGAUUUUCAACAAAGAGAAUUUGUAGAAUAUUUAUUGGUGCUUUGAAUGUAAAAACGGAGGAGCGCUCAUGAUUUGUGACUAGUGCUGGCAAAAUGAGCUCAUAUUUUGAUAACCCGCGCAACUUGCUCAUAUUUUAAUGGGUUGGGUGAGUGACUUUUUACGUGGGUAGUAAAAUAUAGGUUGAUAUCCAUAUUCAACCCAUAAACUAUGGAUUAGCCAAAUGGAUUAAGCUUCUAUUAUUCACUCAAAAUUCAUGUAAAUAUGGGUAAACUAGUAUUUUACCCAACCAAUUUAGUACCCAAUCCAUUUUUACCCAUAUCACUUAUGGGCGGGUUGAAUUAUUACCCAUUUUCAACCCACCUAAAUUUGACCAAACCCGCCCAUUUGCCAAAUCUAUACUUUACAUAUUUGUUAGUUGCUUACAGACUCCAUCCAAAUCUGCCGAUCAUGAUGUUCGUCUAUUUCUUCUAAGGUUAGGAAAUAUGACAACUAAUGAGAAAGUGCUAAGAUCAAGCAAUGUUCGAACGCAGAGCCUUUCUUUCUCGAUCGUCCCUCUUAUUAAGCGGAUUCCGAUUCAUGCAGUCCUUCUCUGCUGCAUUACGAUCUGCAGGGGUAUUUGAAGUGCUUGAUGUUGGUUGUGGUGUUGCAAGUUUCUCUGCCUAUCUUCUUCCUUUAAGUAUAGAAACAACGUCCUUUGCUCCUAAAGAUGAUCAUGAGAAACAAAUUCAGUUUGUUUUGGAACGAAGAAUCGGUGCAAUAGUAUCUGCUAUAGCGCCAAAGCAGCUGCCAUAUCCUAGCAACUAUUUUGAGAUGUCGAGUUGAUUGGCAUGAAAAUGGUAUUGAUCGAGAGAAGUUCUUAGCAGAUACAAUCUAUUGGCAAGAUCAAGUUCGUCAUUACUGGAGACUGAUUGAUGUAAACGAGAAAGAAAUAUGUAAUGUAAUGGACAUGAGUGCUUCACUUGGUGGAUUUGCAGUCGCUCUUAGUACAUGACCGGUCUGGGUGAUGAAUGUAGUUCCUGUAACAAUGAACAACACCCUUUCUGCCGUUUAUGAUAGGGGUCUUAUAGGGACUUUUCAUGACUCGUAGGGUGUUAUGAAUUGGUUAUACCCUAGAAAGAUGCUGACUGGUUUUUGUAGGUGUGAGCCAUUUCUCCAUACCCACGCUCUUAUGAUUUGUUGCAUGCCAACAAUCUUCUUUCUCACUAUAAAGGCCGUGAUGAAGGUUGUUUGCUUGAGGAUAUUAUGCUGGAAAUGGAUCGUGUCCUACGACCUCAGGGAUUUAUCAUAUCAGAGACGAAGAAUCCAUCAUAUCGCGAAUACAAGAUGUUCUUUGGGACGUCCAAUUACAUUAUCUAGAAGACGAUCAGAAGAAAAAGGGGUCAGUUUUAUUAUGCAGGAAAAGGUUUUGGCUCCAUUGCCUAAUGCAGUUUUUCAUUCAAAAUUCUAUCACUGAAAGGUGAAUAUCCAAGUUAAAUUCUUUUAGAGUAAACAAAGUUGUAAAAUUGAUAUAUGUGAAAACAAUUAUGCUACUAUUAUAACAUAAAGAAAAUACUGAAUUAUUUUUUGUCACUAUAAAGAAUUAGAAAUGCAAAAUUAUAGUCCAUUGCAA